ACCAAUUCUGGGGGAUAAUUGGUUCCUCUCGGUAUAAUGGCUCGGGCGCGAUAUUUAUUUCAUGUGGCGAUCCUGAUUGUUGGUUCUACAAUGCCAUUUAAUCGUGGAAACACCACAGACAUUA